rnacentral:misc_RNA from 1 species
GAGGAAGUUGACGAAGAGGAAGAUGAGGAGAGGUAUGGGGAUAGGAAGUCGGGCGGUCAUGGUGAAUUGGAUGCCGCCUCCGGCAAUGUAUCGAAGGAACUGGACGAGGAUGGAAGACCAUUAGCAGAAGGACCAACUGAUUUGCACGACGAAAAUUUAGAAGGCGAAUUUGAUGAGGAGAAGAAGGUGAAUGAGCCCUUCGCUGUUCCCACUGCCGGGGCUUUCUAUAUGCAUGAUGAUCGGUUUAGGGACAAUGCAGGUGG